GUGGGGAUUAGUGGCGAACGGGUGAGUAACACGUGGGCAAUCUGCCCUGCACUCUGGGACAAGCCCUGGAAACGGGGUCUAAUACCGGAUACUGACCAUUGCAGGCAUCUGUGAUGGUCGAAAGCUCCGGCGGUGCAGGAUGAGCCCGCGGCCUAUCAGCUUGUUGGUGAGGUAGUGGCUCACCAAGGCGACGACGGGUAGCCGGCCUGAGAGGGCGACCGGCCACACUGGGACUGAGACACGGCCCAGACUCCUACGGGAGGCAGCAGUGGGGAAUAUUGCACAAUGGGCGAAAGCCUGAUGCAGCGACGCCGCGUGAGGGAUGACGGCCUUCGGGUUGUAAACCUCUUUCAGCAGGGAAGAAGCGAAAGUGACGGUACCUGCAGAAGAAGCGCCGGCUAACUACGUGCCAGCAGCCGCGGUAAUACGUAGGGCGCGAGCGUUGUCCGGAAUUAUUGGGCGUAAAGAGCUCGUAGGCGGCUUGUCACGUCGGUUGUGAAAGCCCGGGGCUUAACCCCGGGUCUGCAGUCGAUACGGGCAGGCUAGAGUUCGGUAGGGGAGAUCGGAAUUCCUGGUGUAGCGGUGAAAUGCGCAGAUAUCAGGAGGAACACCGGUGGCGAAGGCGGAUCUCUGGGCCGAUACUGACGCUGAGGAGCGAAAGCGUG
rnacentral:rRNA from 1 species